rnacentral:rRNA from 1 species
CUUGCUUGAUCCUACUAGUAGUCAUAUGCUUGUCUCAAAUAUUGAACCAUGCAUGUGCAACUAUGAACUAAUUUAGACUAUGAAACUACAAAUGGCUCAUUAAAUUAGUUAUAGUUUGUUUCAUGGUAUCUACUAUUUAGAUAACUGUACUAAUUCUAGAGCAAUACAUGCAAGAAACCCUGUUUUUGGAAAAGAUGCAUUUAUUAGAUAAAAGGUUAAUGUUGGCUUUGCCUAUUACAUUGAUGAUUCAUGAUAACUUGACAGAUUGCAUGACUUUUAUGCCAGUGACGCAUCAUUCAAAUUUCUACCUUAUCAACUUUCGAUGGUAGGGUAGUGGCAUACUAUGGUGAUGAUGAGUGAUAGAGAAUUAGGGUUCGAUUCCAGAGAGGGAGCUUGAAAAAUGGCUACCACAUUCAAGGAAGUCAUCAAGCACAUAAAUUACCCAAUCUUGACAUAGGGAGGUAGUGACAAUAAAUAACAAUAGCGAACUUUAUGAAUUUCAUAAUUAGAAUGAGUAUAAUCUAACUCCCCUAAUGAAGAUCCAUUAGAGGUCAAGUUUGGUGCUAGUUGAUGCAAUAAUUCUAGCUCUAAUAGCAUAUAUUUAGUUGUUGCAGUUAAAAAGCUCGUAGUUGGAACCAAGGUUGGGUUGCCCAGUUUGCUUCAUAGUGAGCACUGGUUUACUUGACCUUAGUACCGAUGAUGUGCUCCUAGCCUUAUUGGUUGGGUCAUUCCUCCUGUGCUAUUACUUGGAAGAAAUUAAAGUGCUCAAAGCUGGCCUACAUUUUUAUACAUUAGCAUGGGAUAACACCAUAGGAUUUUGGUCCUAUUGUGUUGGCCUUUGGGAUCAAAGUAAUGAUUAAUAGGGACAGUCAAGGGCAUUCAUAUUUCACAGUCAGAGGUGAAAUUCUUGGAUUUAUGGAAGAUGAACAAUUGUGAAAGCAUUUGCCAAGGAUGUUUUCAUUAAUCAAUAAUAAAAGUUUAGGGCUCAAAGAUAAUCAGAUACCAUCCUAAUCUUAACCAUAAACAAUGUUGAUCAGGGUUUGGUAGAUGUUACUUUUAGGACACUACUGGCACCUUAUGAGAAAUCUAAGUCUUUUAGUUCUAGAAGGAGUAUGGUCGUAAAGUUAAAACUUAAAGGAAUUGACAAAAAGGCACCACUAGGAAUGGAACCUAUGGCUUAAUUUGACUCAACAUGGGGAAACUUAUGAAGUCCAAAUAUAGUAAGGAUUGAUAGAUUGAGAGCUCUUUCUUCAAUUUGUGGGUGGUGGAGUGUGGCCAUUCUUAGUUGUCAAAGUGAUUUAUCUAGUUAAUUCCAUCAAUGAAUGAAACCUCAGCCUACUAACUAGCUACACAAAUGUGAUUCUUCAUGGCUAGCAUCUUAGGGACUAUGGUCGCUUAAGCCAAGGAAGUGUAAGGCAAUAAAAGGUCUGUGAUGCCUUUACAUGUUUUGGGCUACAUGUGCACUACACUUAUGUAUUCAACGAGUCUAUAGCCUUGGCCAACAGGCCUGGGUAAUCUUUGAAAUUUCAUAGAAAUAAGGAUAGAUCAUUAUAAUUGUUGGUCUGCAAUGAGGAAUUCCUUGUAAGCAUGAGUCAUCAACUCACGUUAGCUAUAUGCUUGCCCUUUGUACACUUCGCUCAUCACUCUUACCUAUUGAAUGGUCUGGUGAAGUGUUCGAACCGUAAUGACAUGGAUGGUUUACUUGCUGCAACAUUAUGAGAAGUCCACUAAACCUUAGCAUUUAGAGGAUGGAAAAGUUGUAGCAAUGUUUUCGAAGGUGAACCUGUGGAUG